GGUUGUGUCUUUGUUAUGCAGUUUCUGAUUAAAGGAUGUAUAAUGUGGGAAACGUGUUGGCAAGCUGAGAUCGGGACAACGCUCCUGUCUCCAGCCGUCGUUGCAUGAGCUCCUGCACACACAACCUGAAGCAUUCACCGAGGAGGCACUGCAGGGAGGCCUUUCUCCCUCCCCCCGAGCCUGAGCUGAACAACGGGAUUGGACAGCAGAGCUGCCAAUCCAAACACAAACCGGGCAAGACGUGUCCUCAGACGACCUCUUCCUCUGAGGAGGCAAGGAAGAGUUAUAAUUGCUCUACAUAAGCACAAAUACACGGCAUUGUGAUUUAAUUAACGGCUCAACCCCGACUGCCGACACAGCAUCUCGCGGCGCUUUGAUGCCUCAUCCCACCAAAGAGCUUGAAAUGUCCUGCGAAUUCACACUGCUAACACAGGUUUUAAGCUCAAGCCAGUGACAUCUCGUCUAAACGUGGGAUGAUGCCAUACCUUCCACAGCUCUUUUGAAGAAGACCUUGCAGCUUCCACAUGUUACGACGCCGUAGUGACAACCCGAUGCCUCAUCUCCA